AGAUUUUCGGGAGAUAAUCUUUAAUUGGAUAGCCGAAGAAGCAAGUAUUUAUUAGCCAAAAUGAAUAUGAAACUUUCAGGCAAAAGGACCGAAAAU
rnacentral:ncRNA from 1 species